rnacentral:sRNA from 1 species
CGACUGGAGGGGAACCCACAGUUGAUGC